rnacentral:lncRNA from 1 species
UGAGGACACAGGGGUCCAGAGAGGCUGAGACUUGCCUGGGGCCACACAGCAAGUCAGGCAUGGGGAUAGCAAGGACACCAGGCAGCUUGCCCUGCGGCCCAAACCCUCGUCUUUGUCCAGCCACUAGAGGAACGAGGAUAAAGAUGGUGAAAAAUGGGGACUCAGGCCUCGGGGAGCUGUGUCUCUGCUCAGCGGAGCAGGAAGGGAUGGUCCUGAGGGGAACUCACAGAGCAACUGGCUCCCCCACCUUGUCCUGCUGCCGGGUGUCCUGGGACAAGGCUACCACCCAGCGGCCACCCAGCCAGGAUCCAGCCCAGUUUGGAGACAGGCAGGACAAGAGCGUCAGGUGCCAGUUGUGUCGAGGAGAGACCCUGUGAGAGAGGCUGUGGGAAAAGCACAGUGCCUGGCACAAAGGGAGAGGUCUGAGUAAAAGUCAAGGUGGCUUCCUGGAGGAGGCCACUGUGCUCUCCGGCGGCAGGAGAAGCAGGAAUAGAAGGAGUUUCCGGAAAAGGAAGAGGGAGAAGCUGUGUUCAGCGCCUGCGCCGUGUGUGGAGUGCAAACUGUCUGCAGGAGCCGAAUCAUUGAAUCUUCCAGCAAUCCUGUACUCCAGCCAUCCCCAUUUUACAGAUGAGAAAACUGAGGCUGGGGGUGGAAAUAAUUUAUUCACUCAGGGAGUAAAAGCUGGAGCCAGAAUUUAAACCCAGCUGGCAAUGAUGCCCCCCUUCCCUCCCUCCUCGGGUCUUUACGGCAUCCUCAUGGUGUGCUGGAUUCACAGAGGUAAAGUGAACCCAGCAUCAACCCUCAAGGAGCACCCCCCUUACAUCUCUGUCUUCCCCCCACCUUGACCACCACCCACGUUGCCCCUUCCGGGCCUCAGUUUCCCUCCUCUGAGCAAUGGGUUCAGUUUCUGCCACCCCUUCUGGCCCAGGGUCCCCAACUCAGGGCGGUGUGGAGGUGUGGCAGCUGAGGCGGCUAGUGAGGUGGGGGUCCUCCACCUGCUGCCACCCCCCAGUCCCCCAUGAACCUGCUCGCCAGGCUGGAGCCAGCCGCCAUCUGGAGCGACGGGCUGUUUAUGGAGCCAGGCGGCGGCGGCCCUGGCCCUGACCCGGCCAAUCUGGAAGUGAUUA